rnacentral:rRNA from 1 species
CUGGCGGCAGGCCUAACACAUGCAAGACGAGCGAGAAAGCACUUCGGUGUGAGUAGAGCGGCGGACGGGGGAGUAACGCGUAGGAAUUUGCCCAGUAGUGGGGGACAACAUGUGGAAACGCAUGCUAAUAACGCAUACGCCCUAUGCGGAUCUUCGGACCUUGCGCUAUUGGAGAAGCCUGCGUCGGAUUAGCUAGUUGGUGGGGUAAAGGCCCACCAAGGCGACGAUCCGUAGCUGGUCUGAGAGGAUGAUCAGCCACACUGGGACUGAGACACGGCCCAGACUCCUACGGGAGGCAGCAGUGGGGAAUAUUGGACAAUGGGGGCAACCCUGAUCCAGCCAUGCCGCGUGUGUGAAGAAGGCCUUAGGGUUGUAAGCACUUUCAGUAGGGAGGAAAAGUUAGUCGUUAAUAACGGCUAACCCUGACGUUACCUAAGAAGAAGCACCGGCAAACUCCGUGCCAGCAGCCGCGGUAAUACGGAGGGUGCGAGCGUUAAUCGGAAUUACUGGGCGUAAAGCGUGCGUAGGCGGUUUGUUAAGCAAGAUGUGAAAGCCCCGGGCUCAACCUGGGAACUGCAUUUUGAACUGGCAGACUAGAGUACUGUAGAGGGUGGUGGAAUUUCCAGUGUAGCGGUGAAAUGCGUAGAGAUUGGAAGGAACAUCAGUGGCGAAGGCGGCCACCUGGACAGAUACUGACGCUGAGGCACGAAAGCGUGGGGAGCAAACAGGAUUAGAUACCCUGGUAGUCCACGCCGUAAACGAUGUCAACUAGCUGUCUGUGAUCUUGUAUCGUGGGUAGCGCAGCUAACGCAUUAAGUUGACCGCCUGGGGAGUACGGCCGCAAGGUUAAAACUCAAAUGAAUUGACGGGGGCCCGCACAAGCGGUGGAGCAUGUGGUUUAAUUCGAUGCAACGCGAAGAACCUUACCAUCCCUUGACAUCCAGAGAAGCGACUAGAGAUAGACGUGUGCCUUGGGAACUCUGUUACAGGUGCUGCAUGGCUGUCGUCAGCUCGUGUUGUGAAAUGUUGGGUUAAGUCCCGCAACGAGCGCAACCCCUAUCCUUAUUUGCCAGGUUAAGCUGGGCACUCUAAAGAAACUGCCCGUGAUAAGCGGGAGGAAGGUGUGGAUGACGUCAAGUCCUCAUGGCCCUUACGGGAUGGGCUACACACGUGCUACAAUGGUAGUGACAAUGGGUUAAUCCCAAAAACUGUCUCAGUUCGGAUUGGGGUCUGCAACUCGACCCCAUGAAGUUGGAAUCGCUAGUAAUCGCGUAACAGCAUGACGCGGUGAAUACGUUCCCGGGCCUUGUACACACCGCCCGUCACACCAUGGGAGUUGGGUCUACCCGAAGGCCGUGCGCUAACCUUUUGGAGGCAGCGGACCACGGUAGGAUCAGCGACUGGGGUG